UUUGAGUUGAUAAAAUAGUGGUUAAGGUUUAGAUUUUGUAAUUAAACGAAACUAUAAUUCGGUUUGGGUUGAUAAAAUAAUGGUUAGGGUUUAGAUUUUAUAAAUAAACGAAUUAUAUUUUGGUUUGGGUUUAUUGAAGACUGAUUACGGUUUUUUUUUUUUCUGAUUUUAAUUUUGAUUUUUUCAUAUAACAUGCUAUUUUUUUUUGUAACAUGUCAUUUUUAUCAAAAA
rnacentral:lncRNA from 1 species